CCUACGGGCGGCAGCAGUGGGGAAUAUUGCGCAAUGGGCGAAAGCCUGACGCAGCGACGCCGCGUGAGGGAUGAAGGUCUUCGGAUCGUAAACCUCUGUCAGCAGGGAAGAACGGUCACUGUGCUAAUCAGCAGUGAAUUGACGGUACCUGCAAAGGCAGCACCGGCUAACUCCGUGCCAGCAGCCGCGGUAAUACGGAGGGUGCGAGCGUUAAUCGGAAUUACUGGGCGUAAAGCGCUCGUAGGCGGUAUGUUAAGUCAAGGGUGAAAUCCCCGGGCUCAACGUGGGAACUGCCUCUGAUACUGGCAGACUGGAGUGUGGUAGAGGGGAGUAGAAUUCCAGGUGUAGGAGUGAAAUCCGUAGAUAUCUGGAGGAACAUCAGUGGCGAAGGCGACUAGCUGGAACAUGACUGACGCUGAGGAGCGAAAGCGUGGGUAGCAAACAGGAUUAGAUACCCCUGUAGUC
rnacentral:rRNA from 1 species